UAUCUAGUCUGAAUAUUUUUAACUACUCAAUUUGUCCUACUGUGACCAUGAACUGAUUGCUUCCUGUCUUUAGAUGCAUAAAAACAUUAUAAAAGAGGCUUACGUAAGCUUUGAAUUGCAUGGGAUAAUUCAUCUAAAAAAGAGAACAAUCUUUGAUACAGGAUCUGCAUUGGUCCCUGAUCACUCUUCCUGCUUUUCUCCUGUUUUCUAGAGUUGGUCUACACUUUUGAAAAUUCCAGCUGAGGUCUUACUGUUGCUGAAUAAGGCACAUUUGUCCUCUAAAGUACAUUAGAUGAAGAACAAAGACUGAAUAGCCAUUCAUCAGAGGCUCCAUAUCAAAAAAAGUUCAAUUGACCUAAAAAAUUCAGAAGCCUUCUAAGGUAUUUUGUACAUUAAGGCUUGUGACCAUUUUGGACAGGGGAGUGCAGAAUGCAGCUGGUGCAUCCCUGACACCAUGUGGUGCUCAGAACCACAGGAUGAUGGUGAUGGCAGUGGAACGAAGUCAGUGUGCCUGGAAACUUCACCACCACUAAAACUCAAGUGAACAGGAAGCUCUGACAUCUAAACUAGGGAAAAAUACCAAAAAGGACAGGACCCCAAAAAGUAAAGACUUAUUCAGCUACCUAUAGUUUUAUAUUACAAUGCAAAAGUGUGAUGGGGAAAAAAUACUUAUUUUUUCAUGCUAACCAAUUUUAUAUUUAGGAAAAAAAGUCAGACAAGAAAUCUAUUUCUCUUCCCCUUCUCAGACCGUUUUGAUAACAUUUAGCUCAUGUGAUUAGAUGAUAUGGAAUCACUUGUGACUAUUGGAGAGAGAAGGCUAUGGGGGAGCAUAACAAAGUUAGAUGCCUAGGUGCCUAGGAGGCAGAAUGACAGAUGAGUCUGUGUAUUGUCAGUGCGAGUAAAUGCACAGUAAAAGGGAUAAUUGUAACUGCAAACAUACCUUGAGGGGAUGUUUUAAAUUAACUGUACCUUUAAGGAAAAAGAAUCUGUGCAGAAAUCCAUGAAAUUACUUGCCUAAAACAUAGCUGUGCACUAGGAAAGUAAAAUAAUAAAAUAAGGAUGGAAGAAGGAGAGAUAAUAAGGAUCCCUGUGAUCAUGUUAACCCUUAUAAAAUGGAGAUUAGAAUGAAAUAUUAAAUAAGUAUUUUAGCUAUAAAACUUUAUUAUUAUCCUUUAUAUCUGACAUUGAUUAUCCUAUUUAGAAAGAGAAUAUAUGUAUAGCACAGAAACAUGGGUUUUAUUUAGGCUUAAAUUUACAUUAAUAGUUUAUAUGAAUUAAGCAGAACCUUUUAUAGCUAAACAAUCAUCAUGUUUAAAAUAGACAGAUUAUACUGAUUAGUUAGUACUUACUUAUUUGCAGAGAGAAAUGUGGUACAUGGGGAAUUAUAAUGAGCGAGGACAGAAUAAAGGGAAGUUAUAGCAGAGAAAAUUGUUCCAUUUUUACACUCUUUCUAUAGUGUCACUGGAGAACCUGAAUGGAUAAGAAUUGAUGGUUAUGUAGCAGAUAAUCUUGAGUGCCAUCACGUGGCACGUACAGGACAAACAGGGGAUCAGACUCAGUUAGCAUUUAUGAAAAGCAGGUCCUGCUUGACCGACCUGAUCUCCCUCUAUGACAGGGUGACCCCCUUAGCAUGUGAGGAAAAGGCUGUGGGUGUUUGCCUGGAGUUCAGUAAAGCCUGUGACACCAUUUUCCACAGCAUUGUCCUGGACAAAACUGAUUCUGAAGAUGAUGCUAGACUUGAUAUUCUGCAAUGAAAAGAAUUUGUGACUACUUUAUAUUUUUUUCAGAUUUUACUUUGCUCAAAAAAAGUCUCACAGUGGUUAGGAAAAUCUUUAAGGUAAUACUGGAAUUUUAAUGAAUAUUCUUGGAGCCACAACUGUCAAUGAAAUCCAACAUUUGAAUAUCAAUUUAAUUUUGAUCAAGCAUUAUAUCCUAAGGCUACAAUCUAUUUCAUAACUCUGAAGUGCUUAUGUCAGCAUGAUCACUGUCUGCACUAGGCACAAUUUCAAAUCAAUGCUAUUCUUUUUUUUUCUUGAAAAGGAGAGGCCUUUGUUAAUCUUAUAUCACAUUGAAAAUAAAAUAAUCUCCCUAUGGAGCUCCAUCUAUCAUAAAAGGAAAAUAAAAUAGGAAGCUCUUAGAAUAUGGCAUCAAUUUCUCUCCUGGCAUAUUCAUAAGGCAAAUUGUUACAAGUAUGAAAGACAAAAAUGCUUGGAUUCCGUCCUACACUCAACAAGUAUCUAGACAAUUUAUGCAAAUACAUCAUUUCAAUUCAGACUAAAGAGCUCAUCUUGAAAGAGUUCAAUAUAAUCAGUGAACUGUCACAAUUUUUGUAGGACCUGAUUCUGAAAUUAGCAAAGUACUGAAGACCUAAAGCUUAGGUAGAGUUCUGGCAUUCUGUAUAAAUUGCAAGGGUUAGCAUGCUGGAGUGAAAGAGAUGCACUUACUAGUAAUAAUAUUGACAUCUUUCUACUCCAAGCCAUUUCUGAAGUAAGCUGAACAAAACCACAUGAUAUUAAAAGAAUUAUUUAUGUUGUUUCCCAAGUCCUAAAAUAGAAAAUUGAUAUCCGUAUUUGAAUUCAACCUGUAUUGGAAUACUUUGUUAGAUUUAGUGAACAAACAUAGAGGAUUUCUCUUGAUGUGGGUUUGGACCCUCCAUGAAUACUGAGGGAAUCCCAAUCUGACCCUCAACUUUUGAUCAGCUACAGGAAGUAUGAACACCUUUGUAAACUCUUUCUUUCAAUUUUGUAUCAACAGCAUGAAACCAUAAAAACAUAGAGAAGGCCACUCAUAAUUAGCAGAAGCAAUCAUUCAUCUCAGAACCUUAUCUCUGACAGUGGACAAAUAAGAAUUGCUAGAGAAGAAUGAAAGAAUAAGAAAUUUUUCAUUACUUUGUCUCCUAGCACUGAAAUAAAAAUAUUCCAAGUAAGAGGCUUAGAUAGUGUCUGUGUACUUUAUAGACUUCUCUUCAACAGUUUCAGCAUCCUGCUGCAAUGAAUUCCUUCAUGUUACCUACACUCUGUUAAAAAAACUUCCUUAUGCCUUCCAAAGGGAAAAACUGAAAAUUGGUAAUAUAUUUAUACACUGAUAAGGUCCAUAGUUUCUCUAAUUAAGGGAAUCAAUCUUGAGAUCUGUUGGCAAGGGGGAGGCAGGGAGUGGAGCAAAAGAAAGGGGCAGGGAAGUGCAGCUGUUCCCCCUGGUGAUGCUUAUUGUUUUAUUCAUCACUCAUGUGGAAAGCUGUUCUGCAAGGGAGAGGAUGGAAAAAAAGAAGACUUGCUAUAGUUACUUUCCAUUCUUUUACUGUAUGGAGGGCAGAUCUCUUAUUCUGAUCUUAUAAUAUUAAAGGGAAAAAAUAAGUCUUGUUUUUGUUAACUGUACUCGGGGAAAAUCCUUUGUUCCUUGUUCUCAGGGAAAAUCCUUUUUAGCAUUCCAUUGUGGAUGAAAGCUUGAGCUGUGCCAUGUAUGUAUGUAUGUAUGUUGGAUGCCUUCAAAGGGUUCCUGUUAUGACAUCCUAGGUUUCAAUAAGCAGACCUCAGAAGUGCUCAGCCUGAGACAUGAUAGUGUUGUACAUAGCUUGCUGUGACUUGGCUGACCUGUCAUGAAGAACAGGGAUAGACAGAUUUCUGUGAUACUUGAGGAACAGGGAAGCACUUUUACUAUAAUGUCAACCUUCAUUUCUCUGAACCAGGUGGCAAGUUUGGCCACCUCUAAAACCAAUUAAUUUAGUCUUAUAUUAAGACUAAGGGCACAGAGUAUAGGACCUUGGGACCUUCAUAAGGCUUAACAAAGGUAAAUGUGAAGUCAUAUAGUAGGAUGGAAUAAUCCUGAGCAGCAAUCCAGGCUGGGCAGUGUCUGCCUGAGCAACAGCUCUGCAGUUCCUGGGGCUCUGGGGCACAGCAAGCUGCACAGGAGCCACUCUAGGGCUGGCAGCAGCAAGGGCCUUCACCAUCCGGUGCUUCAGUAGCAAGGGCAUAAUCAGGAGAGGGAGGGAUGUGAUGAUCCCCUUCCACCUGGCACUUCUUGGAACACCACCCACAGGUUUGGUCCCCUCCAGCUGAAUAUAUACAUGGAACAACUGGAGAGAGUCCAGUGGAGGGCCACUGAGGUGGAACCUAAUUCCAAUACCUACAAGGUAGUGAUAGAGAAGAUGGAGAUACUCUCUUCACCACGGUACAUGAUAACAGGACAAGAGGCAACAGGGAAAAUCACGUCUGGAUAUAAGAAAAUUUUUUUCCCUGUGAGAAAAAUUGAACAGUGAAGCAGACCAAAACAAGAAGUGAUGAAAUCUGGGAGAAUUGAGACCUGGCUUAGCAGAGCUCUUGAAAAUCUAAAUAAAGCCCAGACUUCAGCAGAAGUUGGAACCAGAUGAUCUCCAGAUGUCCCUUCUGGUCUAGACUUCUGAGAUUCUGACAAUAGUUAGUUUCUGGUGGCCUUAUUUAUCUCAUUGAUACUCUGUAACACAGCCCCUACAUGGAAGAAAUCAAUGUGCAAAUUUUGAACGUUAUUUCUGUGUAUGGUCUUGUUUCACAAUUGUGAAACUAUGUGAGAAAAAUUUAGUUUUGAGGUGAAGCAAUAGGGAGUCAGAAUAUAAAUCAUUAAGUGAGCCCCAGUGUUUUAAAUGGAACUCAGAUUAUUACCUGCAGUACACAGUGAUGUUCAAAGCAUGUCUUUGCAAGGGAAUUCUGUAGUUGUUUGUAUUUUGUAUUUUGAAGUGCAUUACUUUUGCUUCAUCCAAAACAUAAAAGUGUAGAACAUGAGUCUGACUGCACAUGGCUCAUUCUUGGCUACUCUGCUUUACUUCUGUUUAUUCUUCACAUACUUCCUCUUCAUCAUCUCUGUGUUGUCUUUGAUCAUUUACCGACUUCAUUGUACAGCUCCAAGAAGUCAUAAAUGAUAUGGAAAAAAAACCAGAAUAAACACGGCGAUUUUGCACAACACAGAAUAAGGAAAAAUAAUGAAAAAAUUAAAUAACAGACUUAAACCAAAGUAUCAAUAAAGGGAGAAUUAUUCACAUGCAGUUUUAAAAUGGGAAGCUCCUGGAUAUGGGCUUGUGGAGAUCAAAAAUGGAAAUUCUCCUCUAUGAAACGUACAAACCCCUUUCUGUGUAUGCAUGACUAUUAAACAAGUAAUACAUUGUUAUAAAAAGUAAAAAAGUUUCUUACACUAGUAAAGGUAAUUCAUUCAAAGUAAAAAUACCAUGUUGCUUAGGUGAUCUGCUAAUUGUCUCAAAUAAUCAAUUAUUGAAAAGCAAAUAUUAAAUUUUCAGCUGGGAAACAAAUCCCUGGCCUAAAAUACUUGCUCAAAUAUUUUGCUGUGGAAUGAGAACAAUGACAAAACUUGGCAGGGGGGAGGCAGCAAAGCAAAGUGCACUUUGGUAAAAGUCUCUAACUUGUGUAAUUUGCUUCCUUGCAUGUUCCAGUGAGUGCUGUGUGGCUGUGAGGCACUAUUGCAAUAACUGUAAUAUUUCUUUCCUUGUGAGGCUAUCCUGUCCUUUUUAUCUCACAAUAUUCCAUGCAGAAUUUGGAUAUAGAGGGCACAUGGAAAAAUGUGGAGGUACUAUCAGGAAUUAAAUAUAUUGGGGUGGGUUCAGGCACUGUGAGAAGUAAAGCAACAAAAAUUUUAGGUUUGAUUUCUGGUUUUGUUGCAAUCAAAGGAAGGAACUGAGGUGAGGUAUGAAACCUGAAGUACAGUCUAGGAGUUGCUUAAGCAAAUUUUUGUUUUGUUCUUUAAAGUGCUCUCGUGAGAUAUUCCUUGUGGAGGAAAGCAAUCAGACUUAGGACUCCUUACGCCAGUUUAUAUAAAGUACAAACAGCUAUCUGCAGUGUUAAGCAUUCACUAACACAGUUUUAAUUUAUAUUUCUGUCUAAGUUACUUAGUAUACUGUUUGAAAACCAGGGUGGGUUUUGAGUGGUUUGUUUUGUUUGGUUUGGUUUUAUUUCAUUUGAUUUGGCUUGUUUCUGUCUUUUAAUACUCAACUUCUUGUGGCUUCUGUUUGUGAAUUAAUUCUGUUUAUCAUCAAGUCUUCAAGUGGACUACAGAUGCUAAUGCUUGCCUUGGUGAUUGAUUGUUUGAUUGAUUUAUUGCCUAACAAUACCUUUGUUUGGGUAGAAUAGAUAUGAACUUUGCACUUUAUUUUAUUUUAGUACAUUUAUGUACUUUCUGCCAUAGGUAGGGAUAACUUAAUAUUUGUAUAUAGCAAUCGAAUUAAGAAGAAGGCGAUAUAGAUCCCCUUCCCUGUGUGUCAUUGAUUCAAAUUCAGUUCACGUGGGUAGUGUUAAAUUGCCAACUGUGGAAUAAGCAGACACUUUCAAUCAGAACAGUUUUAAUGAAAAAUUUAGCACCACUUCUUGGCUCAGCAGACUGAGGCUUGAAUUUGAGUUACAGUGAAUUUACAUUUCCAUCAGUGAGUUUGUCCCCUGGUACCAAGAUCGCAUUACUAUUUUAUGGUAACACAAUUUCCGACUCUUGGGGUAUUAAUAACCCUGAAAUUCACUUUAAUGUAUUUUCAGAUAAAAAUUCAUUGCUAAGAUGCCUCAUGCCUUUGAGCCUGUCACCUGCAAAAUGUUUGCUGGAUUAUUGCUGUAGUUUAGUAAACUGUUACAGUUGAACAGGUGAAAAAAAGUCAUAAGAAAUCACACACUUUUAAGAGGGCUUCUUAGCACUACAGAUUACUUGCAGGGCCUUCUAGGUACAUGACAUGUUUCAUAUUUAUUGCUUAUCACCUUAAAAAAUGCUAAAAAUGGUCUGGCUAGCAAGAGGACAUGCCUUAAUUGUGAAGUGCUGUACCCAUGCACUGCUCACUUUAAUAAAUUCAUUACCUCAUUUGAUGUUUUCAAACUUCUUCUCUGUUCACUACUGUUAUCCUCACCAUUCCAACAGUUGCUGAAAAAUUUAGCCUGUUUAUUUUUAUUUGUCCUUUUUCCAUGCAAAUAGCUAUCAGUAUGAUGUUUGGGGAGGGGGAUGUGUCUAACCAUUAGCACAAACAUACCUACUACAUUCUGAGAUGUAUGGAGUUGGAAUUGAGUCUAAAUUUGUGCUCUCUGAAAGGUAUAUGACUUUUGUGUUUGAAAGCAUUAGUCAACAGGUUGGAUACAAUCUGUUCCAACCAUGUGAAAACCGGGCACUGCUAACAAAGACAAUCAAGUGUAGCCAAUAUCAGGGCAGGGUAUGUUAAUCUACCAUUGGAGCUUCUCUAGGUGCAGUUUUGGACCUGGAGAAAUAAUUCCAUUUGAUCGAGGUGCAUGAAUAAUCUUUUUUUCCCAGGUAGACCUUUCCCUGUGUUUCUCAAGGA